GGUUUCCUAGUGUAAUGGUUAUCACAGUGGAUUCUGAUUCCACUAAUCUGGGUUCGAUUCCCAGGGAGACCU
rfam:Fungal sp. No.14919 DNA, contig: Contig0055.